GACGAACGCUGGCGGCGUGCCUAAUACAUGCAAGUAGAACGCACAGUUUAUACCGUAGCUUGCUACACCAUAGACUGUGAGUUGCGAACGGGUGAGUAACGCGUAGGUAACCUGCCUGGUAGCGGGGGAUAACUAUUGGAAACGAUAGCUAAUACCGCAUAAUAUUAAUUAUUGCAUGAUAAUUAAUUGAAAGGUGCAAUUGCACCACUACCAGAUGGACCUGCGUUGUAUUAGCUAGUAGGUGAGGUAACGGCUCACCUAGGCGACGAUACAUAGCCGACCUGAGAGGGUGAUCGGCCACACUGGGACUGAGACACGGCCCAGACUCCUACGGGAGGCAGCCGUAGGGAAUCUUCGGUAAUGGACGAAAGUCUGACCGAGCAACGCCGCGUGAGUGAAGAAGGUUUUCGGAUCGUAAAGCUCUGUUGUAAGAGAAGAACGGGUGUGAGAGUGGAAAGUUCACACUGUGACGGUAUCUUACCAGAAAGGGACGGCUAACUACGUG
rnacentral:rRNA from 1 species